rnacentral:rRNA from 1 species
CCUACGGGGGACAGUAGUGCGGAAUAUUGGUCAAUGGCCGGAAGGCUGAACCAGCCAAGCCGCGUGAAGGACGAAGGUGCCAAGCAUUGUAAACUUCUUUUGUCAAAGGACAAAAUCAGGCUCGAGAGCCUGACCGAGGGUACUUGAAGAAAAAGCAUCGGCUAACUCCGUGCCACCAGCCGCGGUAAUACGGAGGAUGCGAGCGUUAUCCGGAUUUAUUGGUUUUAAAGGGUGCUGAGGCGGGCUGUUAAGUCAGCGGUAAAAUCCCGGGGCUCAACCCCGGCGAGCCUUUGAAACUGGCUGUCUUGAGAUGUCGAGAGGUAUGCGGAAUGCGCAGUGUAGCGGGGAAAUGCUUAGAGAUUGCGCAGAACUCCGAUUGCGAAGGCAGCAUACCGGCGGCGAUCUGACGCUGAGGCACGAAAGCGUGGGUAUCGAACAGGAUUAGAUACCCUUGUAGUC